CCUGUGUAUGUGAAGACAGGUAACUUACAGGUAACUUACAGGUAAAGGUCAAAGGGGAGCUGGUACCUGUGUAUGUGAAGACAGGUAACUUACAGGUAAAGGUCAAAGGAGAGCUGGUACCUGUGUAUGUGAAGACAGGUAACUUGCAGGUAAAGGUCAAAGGGGAGCUGGACCUCUGGGGGGGGUUAAUAACCUUAUAGGACAAGUUGCAAGAUGUAGAACUAGGAAGGAAUACGACAAAACUACGAAGGAAUACGACAAAACUAGGAAAGAAUACGACAAAACUCAUGUUUUUUCAAAUGAGCCUUACUGUGAUACUAUUUAUAUUUUCAAGAUAUAACCGGUUUUUUUAAACUUUCAGUAUAUCUUUUUAUUCAUUUUCAUUUGACUAAAUUCCUGUGUUAUUUUGAUAGUUGUGUGGUGCAGUAUUUGUCUUAACAUUACUCUGUUGUAAACAUUUCUGAGUGCAAAGUAUUUCUCACUCAAGUGAUCUCUGGUAGAUAUGCCAUCCCGCAUUCUCCUCACAAAACUUGGCUUGCUUGAGAACAUUUGGUGUGAAAAUGUGAGAAUGUCGUGGAACAGACGAACGGUACACUUGUCUUUUGAAUCUGACAGCUGAGCUUCCUCAGCAGGCGUGGUAAAGAACAUGAAUUUACGAUGAAUAUUUCAGAGAUAUCUGUGAUGAUUUAUAACUCUAUGUGUGCUCAAAAACGUUUCCUUGUUGUAAAAUUCUAUCAAUAGAGUUCCUGUCGUUAUCUUUUAGUGGAGAUAUUUGUUACGACUUUUCCUGUAUUGUUCAUUUUCGCUUUUUUUUUUUUUAUUACAAUUUUCAUGUGAAAAGAUCAUUUGGUAUGGAAGAAGGGUAAGUUGACAUUUUUUUUUCAAACAUGUCCAUCUUUAAAGCUGUUUAAAUUGUUUCGAUGUUUACCCAGACUAUAAAAGGACAAAAUACCUUAACAU